CGGCGGACGGGUGAGUAACGCGUGGGUAACCGUGCCUCAUACAGGGGGAUAACAGUUGGAAACGGCUGCUAAUACCGCAUAAGCGCACAGUACCGCAUGGUACGGUGUGAAAAACUCCGGUGGUAUGAGAUGGACCCGCGUCUGAUUAGGUAGUUGGUGGGGUAACGGCCUACCAAGCCGACGAUCAGUAGCCGACCUGAGAGGGUGACCGGCCACAUUGGGACUGAGACACGGCCCAA
rnacentral:rRNA from 1 species